GACUCCUGGAGGACUUUAAUAAGAACCAGUUAUUAGCCAGCAGCAUUUGCAGUCUAAUGUCUUCAGCCUCGUUUCUGUGAACCAUGUGACGUGUGUUUACAUCUUCUCAGCUGUUCCUCGAGAAAAACAGCGCUGGAUCUUCAACGCCACGAAAAUCUAUAUCUCACACAACAACAACAACAGUGCGCUCAAAAACACCAAGUCUAAUGUGCAUCCAGUGUGUUUAGCUCGUGCAAAGCCCGAGACUGAUUCAUGGCUUUACAAAGUCUGGGUUCGUCUGACCAGCACAAAUCUUACCAAACUGCUUCACAACCUCCCAUGAAAUGUCGGGUCCUGCUUUAUUGGUGUGUUGGGUUUCUCUCUGUGAUGACACUGUUCUUCUUAUUGAGGCCUGGAAUGAAUCCGCUGAGAGUUUGUGGCUUCCGCUUUCACUGGGUCAGACAAACGGUGCAGGAGUCAACAUGAGGCCAUCAGCUUCCAUUUAAAAUAUAGACUAUUUACACACAUUAUUACAGACUAUUGCUUCGAUAAUAUUUGAACUGAACUGAGCUGGACGAUGACAUCACUGAAUCAAUGAUGAACUGACUUUAACUGUUAACUAUUAUUGUCCCCUUGCAUU